rnacentral:rRNA from 1 species
CCUACGGGUGGCUGCAGUGGGGAAUAUUGCACAAUGGGGGAAACCCUGAUGCAGCGACGCCGCGUGAGUGAAGAAGUACUUAGUUAUGGAAAGCUCUAUCAACAGGGAAGAAAAUGACGGUACCUGAGUAAGAAGCCCCGGCUAACUACGUGCCAGAAGCCGCGGUAAUACGUAGGGGGCAAGCGUUAUCCGGAGUUACUGGGUGUAAAGGGAGCGUAGAGGGCAGUGCAAGUCUGGAGUGAAAGGCGGGGGCUCAACCCUCGGACUGCUCUGGAUACUGGACGGCUGGAGUGCAGGAGAGGUAAGCGGAAUUCCUAGUGUAGCGGUGAAAUGCGUAGAUAUCAGGAGGAACACCAGUGGCGAAGGCGGCUUACUGGACUGUAACUGACGUUGAGGCUCGAAAGCGUGGGGAGCAAACAGGAUUAGAUACCCUGGUAGUC